AUAUAAUUAGAAUUCAAACUCCUCAUAAUGAUGUUGUUAUCAUUUUAAUAACAAUAGCUAAUUAUGAAGUAAGAAGAAUUCUGGUUGAUAAUGGAAGCUCUAUCAAUAUCUUAUUUUAUGAUGUAUUUCAAAAAAAGAAAGUACUCGAAGAAUGACUUAAGUAGGUCAAUGUGCCACUGGUCAAAUUUUCUAGUCAUGUGAUACU
rnacentral:lncRNA from 1 species